GUAAUACUUAGGAAUCUACCUAGUAGUGGGGGAUAGCACGGGGAAACUCGUAUUAAUACCGCAUACGACCUACGGGAGAAAGGGGGCAGUUUACUGCUCUCGCUAUUAGAUGAGCCUAAGUCGGAUUAGCUAGAUGGUGGGGUAAAGGCCUACCAUGGCGACGAUCUGUAGCUGGUCUGAGAGGAUGAUCAGCCACACCGGGACUGAGACACGGCCCGGACUCCUACGGGAGGCAGCAGUGGGGAAUAUUGGACAAUGGGGGAAACCCUGAUCCAGCCAUGCCGCGUGUGUGAAGAAGGCCUUUUGGUUGUAAAGCACUUUAAGCAGUGAAGAAGACUCUGUGGUUAAUACCCACAGACGAUGACAUUAGCUGCAGAAUAAGCACCGGCUAACUCUGUGCCAGCAGCCGCGGUAAUACAGAGGGUGCAAGCGUUAAUCGGAAUUACUGGGCGUAAAGGGAGCGUAGGUGGCUCGAUAAGUCAGAUGUGAAAUCCCCGGGCUCAACCUGGGAACUGCAUCUGAUACUGUCGUGCUAGAGUAUGUGAGAGGAAGGUAGAAUUCCAGGUGUAGCGGUGAAAUGCGUAGAGAUCUGGAGGAAUACCGAUGGCGAAGGCAGCCUUCUGGCAUAAUACUGACACUGAGGCUCGAAAGCGUGGGUAGCAAACAGGAUUAGAUACCCUGGUAGUCCACGC
rnacentral:rRNA from 1 species